AUUGAACGCUGGCGGCAUGCUUUACACAUGCAAGUCGAGCGGUAACAGGUUAAGCUGACGAGUGGCGAACGGGUGAGUAAUGCAUCGGAACGUGCCCGGUCGUGGGGGAUAACGCAGCGAAAGCUGCGCUAAUACCGCAUACGAUCUAAGGAUGAAAGCGGGGGACCGUAAGGCCUCGCGCGAUCGGAGCGGCCGAUGGCAGGUUAGGUAGUUGGUGGGGUAAAGGCUCACCAAGCCAACGAUCUGUAGCUGGUCUGAGAGGACAACCAGCCACGCUGGGACUGAGACACGGCCCAGACUACUACGGGAGGCAGCAGUGAGGAAUGUUGCACAAUGGGCGAAAGCCUGAUCCAGCAAUGCCGCGUGCAGGAAGAAGGCCUUCGGGUUGUAAACUGCUUUUGUACGGAGCGAAAAGGUCUCCUCUAAUACAGGGGGCUCAUGACGGUACCGUAAGAAUAAGCACCGGCUAACUACGUGCCAGCCGCCGCCGUAA
rnacentral:rRNA from 1 species